rnacentral:rRNA from 1 species
UACGGAGGGUGCAAGCGUUAUCCGGAAUGAUUGGGCGUAAAGCGUCCGCAGGUGGCCAUGUGAGUCUGCUGUUAAAGAGUCUAGCUCAACUAGAUAAAAGCAGUGGAAACUACAUAGCUAGAGUACGUUCGGGGCAGAGGGAAUUCCUGGUGUAGCGGUGAAAUGCGUAGAGAUCAGGAAGAACACCAGUGGCGAAGGCGCUCUGCUAGGCCGUAACUGACACUGAGGGACGAAAGCUAGGGGAGCGAAUGGG